AGAGCAGACCAAACGCCAAUGCAGAAGGCUCAAGAAAGAGGCAAACAGACUAGCCACUGCUCCAGGAUGACUGUGGCUCUUUAUGAGUGAAGAGAAAGGGUGGAGACUGAAGACAGAACUGGGGACAGUGACAGGCUUGGGGAAGAACAGCUGAUUCAGCAGUCCCAAGCAUCUGAACACAAGGUGGACAUUCUCCAGGGUGACAUCGCAAAAUACAUGGGUGAAGACAACCUAGUGGCCGUGACUUGGAGCACCCUUCCUCACAAUGAAGGCAUUCUGGGCCAGCCUGAAAAACAGCAUGGAAAUAAAUCACCUAAGUACAAGCAGUUUGAUGGGUCCACGUGCCAGCAAGAUAGAGAUACUCAUCAGGAAGUUGGCCAUGCAAGUUUGAAAUUUGAGAGAAGAAUCACAAAAAUGCAAAGGCUGUGCUCAAAUAAAAAUGAACUCCUUUGGUAAA
rnacentral:lncRNA from 1 species